GAUGAACGCUGGCGGCGUGCCUAAUACAUGCAAGUCGAGCGAACGGACGAGAAGCUUGCUUCUCUGAUGUUAGCGGCGGACGGGUGAGUAACACGUGGAUAACCUACCUAUAAGACUGGGAUAACUUCGGGAAACCGGAGCUAAUACCGGAUAAUAUUUUGAACCGCAUGGUUCAAAAGUGAAAGACGGUCUUGCUGUCACUUAUAGAUGGAUCCGCGCUGCAUUAGCUAGUUGGUAAGGUAACGGCUUACCAAGGCAACGAUGCAUAGCCGACCUGAGAGAGUGGUCGGCCACACUGGAGCUGAGACGCGGUCCAGACUACUACGGGAGGCAGCAGUAGGGAAUCUUCCGCAAUGGGCGAAAGCCUGACGGAGCAACGCCGCGUGAGUGAUGGAGGUCUUCGGAUCGUAAAACUCUGUUAUUAGGGAAGAACAUAUGUGUAAGUAACUGUGCACAUCUUGACGGUACCUAAUCAGAAAGCCACGGCUAACUACGUG
rnacentral:rRNA from 1 species